rnacentral:tRNA from 1 species
AGAUAGCUCAGUGAUUUAGAGCAGUCGCCCGGCAAGCGAAAGACUCGGGUUCGAUUCCUGGUCU